rnacentral:rRNA from 1 species
GAUGAACGCUGGCGGCGUGCCUAAUACAUGCAAGUCGAGCGAACAGACGAGGAGCUUGCUCCUCUGACGUUAGCGGCGGACGGGUGAGUAACACGUGGAUAACCUACCUAUAAGACUGGGAUAACUUCGGGAAACCGGAGCUAAUACCGGAUAAUAUAUUGAACCGCAUGGUUCAAUAGUGAAAGACGGUUUUGCUGUUACUUAUAGAUGGAUCCGCGCCGCAUUAGCUAGUUGGUAAGGUAACGGCUUACCAAGGCAACGAUGCGUAGCCGACCUGAGAGGGUGAUCGGACACCCGGGAAGUGAGACAGGGCCCAGACUCCUGCACGAAGCAGCAGUCGGGAAUCUUCCGCGAUGGGCGAGAGCCUGACGGAGCAACGCCGCGUGAGUGAUGAAGGUCUUCGGAUCGUAAAACUCUGUUAUUAGGGAAGAACAAAUGUGUAAGUACCUAUGCACGUAUUGACGGUACCGGAUCAAAAAGCCACGGCUAACUACGUG